ACACAUUCUGUUUCUUAUCUAAUUAAUGAUUUUUCUGUAGAGUAUGUUUUAUGCUAUCGCAUGAUCCUAGGACCUCUACCUGCUUCGAUACUAUGUUGAAUCCUGUCAUCUAAAAACUUAUGUUGUUGGAGAAAGGACAGGUUCAUAUUUUGAAUUCAAUGGCCUAGGUUUCAAUUGUCGUUGUGACAUUUCCACUUCAUGCCUAGAAAUUUCCAUGAGUUACUUGCUAAGGAAUAUAAAAUGCAGAUUGCAGAUCGACAGAUCGUGAAUCAUAUUAUGUGCACACACAUACAGGGCCUGAAAGAUAAACACUUCACUUUUUUUGCACAGAAAGGAAUUCUAGAGUUUUUGAAGAAAAAAGAACAACUGCUAGGGCGAUUUGCUGGGUAGAGUAAAGCUUUUGGUUUAUUUAUGAGCUUCAUUGCUUCAACAUGAAAUGAGUUUGAGAACUUUCCUUUAUCUUUACUGGUUCUUGGUAGGAAGAAUGUGUUAAAUUUCUGAUUCUGUUUUUGAAUCUUUUUCUUAUAUUUUAAGAGGAGUGUUUGUUCUCUUUAUGUAUGUAUUUUUAUAUUGCAAUUAAUAGAACUUCUACUAAAAGACGGUAACGUUAAAGUACUUUCUUUACAUGUUAUUUCAAGCUUUUAGCUUAAAGGACUGAUCUUUGCUUGAACUUGGCCCGAACCGACUUAAAUAAAGAUAACUACGUGAGUUAUUAAUACUUUUUUGAAGGUAAAAUACACCCCAAGGCUCUCCUCUCUCCCCCCCUUUAUAUGUAACCACCAUCAACCCCAUUUUUCACCUUGAAUUGGUCAAAGCCAAAAAUAUCUUUUGAGCUUCUUGUAAUCAAGCGUGAAUCAGAUGAACCUCCAUCCUAUCUAUGGGCCUGUACCUAAACGCUUAAAGCGAGAAACUCUAAUGUGGCUUAUCAUUUCUAGGCAAUCUUAUAUCUUGUUGGAAUCUACACAUCAUUCAUAGUCUUCUAUAACGACACGUGUUUAGAAGGUGUCUGCAUUUCUCAUAUUAAGUUUUGAUGUAAUACGAAUGCAUAUUCAUAACAUUAUCCAGUUUAUUUACUUUCUUUUUCUCUUCGAUA